rnacentral:rRNA from 1 species
GAUGAACGCUGGCGGCGUGCCUAAUACAUGCAAGUCGAGCGAACCACUUCGGUGGUGAGCGGCGAACGGGUGAGUAACACGUAGGUGAUCUGCCCAUCAGACGGGGACAACGAUUGGAAACGAUCGCUAAUACCGGAUAGGACGAAAGUUUAAAGGUGCUUCUGGCACCGCUGAUGGAUGAGCCUGCGGCGCAUUAGCUAGUUGGUAGGGUAAAGGCCUACCAAGGCGACGAUGCGUAGCCGACCUGAGAGGGUGAACGGCCACACUGGGACUGAGACACGGCCCAGACUCCUACGGGAGGCAGCAGUAGGGAAUCUUCGGCAAUGGGCGAAAGCCUGACCAAGCAACGCCGCGCGAAUGAUGAAGGCCUUCGGGUUGUAAAAUUCUGUUAUAAGGGAAGAACGACUUUAGUAGGAAAUGGCUAGAGUGUGACGGUACCUUAUGAGAAAGCCACGGCUAACUACGUGCCAGCCGCCGCAGUAA